rnacentral:rRNA from 1 species
AUACGUAGGAUCCAAGCGUUGUCCGGAAUUACUGGGUGUAAAGGGUGCGUAGGCGGGCUUGUGCGUCAGGGGUUAAAUCCCGCGGCUUAACCGUGGAGCUGCCCUUGAUACGGCAAGUCUUGAGUAUGAGAGAGGAUGAUAGAAUUCCUGGUGUAGCGGUGAAAUGCGUAGAUAUCAGGAAGAAUACCAGUGGCGAAGGCGGUCAUCUGGCUCAUUACUGACGCUCAGGCACGAAAGCGUGGGGAGCGAACAGGAUUAGAAACCCUAGUAGUCC